rnacentral:rRNA from 1 species
AACGAACGCUGGCGGUAUGCUUAACACAUGCAAGUCGAACGAACAAAGCCUAGCUUGCUAGGCCUAGUUAGUGGCAAACGGGUGAGUAACGCGUGGGAAUCUACCCAGUAGUACGGAUUAACAGUUGGAAACGACUGCUAAUACCGUAUAGUAUUGAGAGAUUAAAGAUUUAUCGCUACUGUAUGAGCUCGCGUCAGAUUAGGUAGUUGGUGGGGUAAUGGCCUACCAAGCCGAAGAUCUGUAGCUGGUCUGAGAGGAUGACCAGCCACACUGGAACUGAGACACAGUCCAGACUCCUACGGGAGGCAGCAGUGAGGAAUAUUGGACAAUGGGCGAAAGCCUGAUCCAGAAAUACCGCGUGAGUGAAGAAGGCCUUAAGGUUGUAAAGCUCUUUCAGCAGGGAAAAUAAUGAUGGUACCUGCAAAAGAAGUUCCGGCUAACUCCGUGCCAGCAGCCGCGGUAA